rnacentral:rRNA from 1 species
GACGAACGCUGGCGGCGUGCCUAAUACAUGCAAGUUGAGCGAUGAAGAUUGGUGCUUGCACCAAUUUGAAGAGCAGCGAACGGGUGAGUAACGCGUGGGGAAUCUGCCUUUGAGCGGGGGACAACAUUUGGAAACGAAUGCUAAUACCGCAUAACAACUUUAAACAUAAGUUUUAAGUUUGAAAGAUGCAAUUGCAUCACUCAAAGAUGAUCCCGCGUUGUAUUAGCUAGUUGGUGAGGUAAAGGCUCACCAAGGCGAUGAUACAUAGCCGACCUGAGAGGGUGAUCGGCCACAUUGGGACUGAGACACGGCCCAAACUCCUACGGGAGGCAGCAGUAGGGAAUCUUCGGCAAUGGACGAAAGUCUGACCGAGCAACGCCGCGUGAGUGAAGAAGGUUUUCGGAUCGUAAAACUCUGUUGGUAGAGAAGAACGUUGGUGAGAGUGGAAAGCUCAUCAAGUGACGGUAACUACCCAGAAAGGGACGGCGAACUACGU